CCUACGGGUGGCAGCAGUGAGGAAUAUUGGUCAAUGGGCGCUAGCCUGAACCAGCCAUGUAGCGUGAAGGAUGACUGCCCUCUGGGUUGUAAGCUUCUUUUAUAUGGAAGUAAAGUGCAGUAUGUAUACUGCUUUGCAUGUCCCUUAUGAUUCAGGAUCGGCUAGCUCCGUGACAGAAGCCGCGGUAAUACGGAGGAGCCGAGCGUUAUCCGGAUUUAUUGGGGUUAAAGGGGGCGUAGGCGGGUAGUUAAGUCAGUUUGUAAAGUUUGCGGGUCAACCGUAACAUUGCAGUUGAUACUGGUAUCCUUGAGUACAGUAGAGGUAGGCGGAAUUCGUGGUGUAGCGGUGAAAUGCGUAGAUAUUACGAAGAACUCCGAUUGCGAAGGCAGCCUGCUGGACUGUAACUGACGCUGAUGCUCGAAAGUGUGGGUAGCAAACAGGAUUAGAUACCCGAGUAGUC
rnacentral:rRNA from 1 species